AACGAACGCUGGCGGCAUGCCUAACACAUGCAAGUCGAACGAGACCUUCGGGUCUAGUGGCGCACGGGUGCGUAACGCGUGGGAACCUGCCCUUAGGUUCGGAAUAACUCCCCGAAAGGGGUGCUAAUACCGGAUAAUGUCUUCGGACCAAAGAUUUAUCGCCUUUGGAUGGGCCCGCGUUGGAUUAGCUAGUUGGUGGGGUAAAAGCCUACCAAGGCGACGAUCCAUAGCUGGUCUGAGAGGAUGAUCAGCCACACUGGGACUGAGACACGGCCCAGACUCCUACGGGAGGCGGCAGUGGGGGAUAUUGGACGAUGGGCGAAAGCCUGAUCCAGCAAUGCCGCGUGAGUGAUGAAGGCCUUAGGGUUGUAAAGCUCUUUUACCCGGGAUGAUAAUGACAGUACCGGGAGAAUAAGCUCCGGCUAACUCCGUG
rnacentral:rRNA from 1 species